rnacentral:rRNA from 1 species
ACCGGGCGUUAAGUUGCAGGGUAUAGACCCGAAACCCGGUGAUCUAGCCAUGGGCAGGUUGAAGGUUGGGUAACACUAACUGGAGGACCGAACCGACUAAUGUUGAAAAAUUAGCGGAUGACCUGUGGCUGGGGGUGAAAGGCCAAUCAAACCGGGAGAUAGCUGGUUCUCCCCGAAAGCUAUUUAGGUAGCGCCUCGUGAAUUCAUCUCCGGGGGUAGAGCACUGUUUCGGCUAGGGGGCCAUCCCGGCUUACCAACCCGAUGCAAACUGCGAAUACCGGAGAAUGUUAUCACGGGAGACACACGGCGGGUGCUAACGUCCGUCGUGAAGAGGGAAACAACCCAGACCGCCAGCUAAGGUCCCAAAGUCAUGGUUAAGUGGGAAACGAUGUGGGAAGGCCCAGACAGCCAGGAUGUUGGCUUAGAAGCAGCCAUCAUUUAAAGAAAGCGUAAUAGCUCACUGGUCGAGUCGGCCUGCGCGGAAGAUGUAACGGGGCUAAACCAUGCACCGAAGCUGCGGCAGCGACGCUGAUGCGUUGUUGGGUAGGGGAGCGUUCUGUAAGCCUGCGAAGGUGUGUCGUGAGGCAUGCUGGAGGUAUCAGAAGUGCGAAUGCUGACAUAAGUAACGAUAAAGCGGGUGAAAAGCCCGCUCGCCGGAAGACCAAGGGUUCCUGUCCAACGUUAAUCGGGGCAGGGUGAGUCGACCCCUAAGGCGAGGCCGAAAGGCGUAGUCGAUGGGAAACGGGUUAAUAUUCCCGUACUUGGUGUUACUGCGAAGGGGGGACGGAGAAGGCUAUGUUGGCCGGGCGACGGUUGUCCCGGUUUAAGCGUGUAGGUGUGUGUUCCAGGUAAAUCCGGUUCACUUUAACACUGAGGCGUGAUGACGAGGCACUACGGUGCUGAAGCAACAAAUGCCCUGCUUCCAGGAAAAGCCUCUAAGCAUCAGGUAACAUCAAAUCGUACCCCAAACCGACACAGGUGGUCAGGUAGAGAAUACCAAGGCGCUUGAGAGAACUCGGGUGAAGGAACUAGGCAAAAUGGUGCCGUAACUUCGGGAGAAGGCACGCUGACACGUAGGUGAAGUGAUUUACUCAUGGAGCUGAAGUCAGUCGAAGAUACCAGCUGGCUGCAACUGUUUAUUAAAAACACAGCACUGUGCAAACACGAAAGUGGACGUAUACGGUGUGACGCCUGCCCGGUGCCGGAAGGUUAAUUGAUGGGGUCAGCGCAAGCGAAGCUCCUGAUCGAAGCCCCGGUAAACGGCGGCCGUAACUAUAACGGUCCUAAGGUAGCGAAAUUCCUUGUCGGGUAAGUUCCGACCUGCACGAAUGGCGUAAUGAUGGCCAGGCUGUCUCCACCCGAGACUCAGUGAAAUUGAACUCGCUGUGAAGAUGCAGUGUACCCGCGGCAAGACGGAAAGACCCCGUGAACCUUUACUAUAGCUUGACACUGAACAUUGAGCCUUGAUGUGUAGGAUAGGUGGGAGGCUUUGAAGUGUGGACGCCAGUCUGCAUGGAGCCGGCCUUGAAAUACCACCCUUUAAUGUUUGAUGUUCUAACGUGGACCCGUGAUCCGGGUUGCGGACAGUGUCUGGUGGGUAGUUUGACUGGGGCGGUCUCCUCCUAAAGAGUAACGGAGGAGCACGAAGGUUGGCUAAUCCUGGUCGGACAUCAGGAGGUUAGUGCAAUGGCAUAAGCCAGCUUGACUGCGAGCGUGACGGCGCGAGCAGGUGCGAAAGCAGGUCAUAGUGAUCCGGUGGUUCUGAAUGGAAGGGCCAUCGCUCAACGGAUAAAAGGUACUCCGGGGAUAACAGGCUGAUACCGCCCAAGAGUUCAUAUCGACGGCGGUGUUUGGCACCUCGAUGUCGGCUCAUCACAUCCUGGGGCUGAAGUAGGUCCCAAGGGUAUGGCUGUUCGCCAUUUAAAGUGGUACGCGAGCUGGGUUUAGAACGUCGUGAGACAGUUCGGUCCCUAUCUGCCGUGGGCGCUGGAGAACUGAGGGGGGCUGCUCCUAGUACGAGAGGACCGGAGUGGACGCAUCACUGGUGUUCGGGUUGUCAUGCCAAUGGCACUGCCCGGUAGCUAAAUGCGGAAGAGAUAAGUGCUGAAAGCAUCUAAGCACGAAACUUGCCCCGAGAUGAGUUCUCCCUGAGACUUAGAGUCUCCUGAAGGAACGUUGAAGACGACGACGUUGAUAGGCCGGGUGUGUAAGCGCAGCGAUGCGUUGAGCUAACCGGUACUAAUGAACCGUGAGGCUUAACCUUACAACGCCGAA